GAUGAAGAACGCAGCGAAAUGCGAUAGGUAAUGUGAAUUGCAGAAUUCAGUGAGUCAUCGAAUCUUUGAACGCACAUUGCGCCCUGUGGUAUUCCGCAGGGCAUGCCUGUUCGAGCGUCAUUUCAACCCUCAAGCUCUGCUUGGUGUUGGGCCCUGCCCGCUGCGGCCGGCCCUAAAGACAGUGGCGGUGCCGCCUGGCCCUGAGCGUAGUACAUCUCUCGCUCCAGUGCCCGGUGGUAGCCUGCCAGAACCCCAACUCUCGUGGUUGACCUCGGAUCAGGUAGGGAUACCCGCUGAACUUAAGCAUAUCAAUAAGCGGGGA
rnacentral:misc_RNA from 1 species